CUGUUUAAUAGAAAAGACACCUUUGACGCUAAAUAGCUCAUUGAACGAACAAGAAAUCAUACCUUGUGAGAGGAUUUCGCCUCCAUAGAGCUCAUCAGUUUUUCUUGGGGUUACAAAGUUUGCCAUCUUAAGUGAUUCUUAGUUUUGAAUUAUCUAUUCCAACCAACAAACGACUCGCGCCGAGGAGCGUUCAGUAUGAUUCAUUCCAAAGUUCAGAUGUUAAAAAGCGCAAUUGAAAGCCAUCUCACCGUUCGUGUUCUCCAGCGGAAAUUCAACCUCGCAGAUUGUUCUUACAGAAGGCUUACCUCUCAUGACCAAGACGAAAUAAACCCACCUAAAGAAGAAGACGCAACGGCAAAAUAUGGGGAAGAAACUUUCCAAUGUAGCAAACUUCAUUGUGAUGAAAACGAUGAUUCUUUUGAGCGAGUGAAAAUACCACGACAAGGGAAAAAAGCUCAAGAAAGUAACAAAGAGCUCCACCUUGGAGGAUCUGCCAGCGGGAAAUGCUCAAGGGAGGAGGAUCAGGUUUGUGUUCCGCAUGAAAAUCAAAAAGCACAUGUUAUAACGGGAUUGCAAAAUAACUCGAAUUUCAAGACUAGACAGUUUCAGCGCAGCAAAAGCUUCUGCCAUAAAAUGCUUGACACUACCCCUGAAGUUAGAAAACAGCAAACCUCCAAAAUGGUUGAAGAAGAAAGAACGCCCGUGAACUUUGACGGUUUUAAGAGUUUUUCGAGAGGAAGCUCGGACCCCUCUCUAAGAGUGGAGAAAGCUAAACACACAAAUACAUCCCAGAACAAACAACUGGAAUUUGAGUCAGAAUUUUUCAACGACACCCAACGUCUUUGCGAAAAGGAGAAACAUUCCUCUGCUGGACCAGUUGGAAAAUUAUUAGGUGCAGGUGACGCUAACAAAAAAGAGGUGGAAAGGAUCUUUGACGAAAGUAAAUUACGCCAGAAUAAAAGUGUCCGGAAAGUGGACGCCAGAAAUAACUGCUCUGGAAUACGUUCUCGCUUUGGUAGCUCGAAAACAUUUAAAAGAGGAGCAAAGAGUCAAAAAUUACCAUUUAAAUCACCAGGAUUCCGUUACAGAAAACUGAAUGAGAAUGAUAACGAUAAUCAUGAAGUUAAAAAGAAGCCUCGAUCAAUGAAGUCAGCUCAAAAGGAAGGUCAGUCGGCUAAACCGCCGCUAGAACGGGUCCCUAGUUGGCGGGGUAGCAAAGUUGCCAAAGAAAGACUUUCUCAACGCCGCUCCGCUGUAUGUGACAACAUUGAGAAGCAGCUGAGAGACCAGUAUGGUAUCAGCUUACGAAACUUACGGAAAUGUUUGGUAAUAGACGAAGUACUGCGAGAUUAUGAUUUGAUAUGAACGUAAGGAUUAAAACGGUUAAAAUGUCAGCCAAUCUACCGCUAAUGGUUGAUAUCUUUCCAUUGUGGUCACCAGAACUUUUUCUAAGAUUAAUUAACACUUUUUAACGACUAACGUUAAAAUUUGGAAAUUUUUACGCUUAACAGCUGAAUUUUUGUUGCCGUUUUGCGGCCAACGGUUAACCCCCAUUGAGAUCCUCUUAUCGAAGUAAUUUUGCGAUGAAAUAAAUAUCCUGUUUUACAUAGCUAAUGGCUGGCGGUCCCGUGUUGGAAAUUCAAAGCUGAGCAGCAUAAAAUCGAGAAGGAAAAAGGAUGCCACCGAGAAUAAAGGGAAAGGAUGCUUCUGAGAAAGAGGAGUUCUCUAAGCAAGGAACUGAGGCGCCUUGACUUCCUGAUUCGAUUAGGGAUUAAGAGUUGCAAGGACAUAGGAUUCAGUUAUUUGUGCGAAAAUCAUAGUAAGCACGAUGAAAACUGACGGAGGGAUUCGCCGAACUGCCAAGUUAAACCAGCCGCUUGGCUACGUUUCGCGUCGGUUCAGCAUGCGUUCGCGGCGAUAUAAGAAGCUCGCGUCGAAUUCUAAAGAAGAAGUUUGUGAAUCGCUCUCAACAAAGUCAAAUUCUCUGGAACGAAACACACGAGCCGCAUCGACAGAAGAUUUCGACGAGUUCGCCAUCAAUCACUUCAAAGGAUCGCGUGAAACGGCGGCAAAAUUUAACGCAGCUAUUGAUGAGGUAGAUGAAAGAUUUGAAGAAGAGAAAGAAACAUUGCCUGUGCGUUGCAGAAGGCACGCUAUUUGUGAAGAAAUGGAGAGGAAUAUUUUGAACGACGCGGGAGUAAGUCUCCGAGGCUACCGAGAGCUACUUGUUACGCGUCGUUUACUGUUCGAGAUGCACCUGCUGUAGAGAUAGAGAGAGAGAGAGAAAGAGAGAGAGAGAAGGGAAGCUGAUGAGAAUCACAUAGAAACUUGCUAAAGACUUCGCCGUGCCACAUUGAAAGAAUCUCCCUAGCUACGACAGUUUUGAAUAUAGACGGAAAUUAGUGAGAGACAUAAUUCUAUUUGAAUUUAUAGUGCAGUGGUUUCGACUCUAAUUCCCCCAAGAACGACUAGAGAGAUAGGGCAAGAGCAUUGUUUUGAGCUUGGUGGUGAAACUAGCUGAAAAAUGGUUAGGUCACCAAAGUGCGGAGCAUGUGGAGUCUACAAAAUGAAGAAAAUGAAAAAAAAAACAUUAAUAAUAUUUAUAAAGUCAAAGUUUUGGUAAAAAUCAAUUUAUUAAAGUGUGAUGAA